UCAAAAUCCCCCACUGAUCUAGACCCUCUGCAUGCAUUCUUUUGCGAAACAGUCAACAAUCAACUCUUAUACCAAUCAAUUUGUCCCUGCAAACCAAGUAUAAAUGUUAUCAGCUGAAUGUUAUUACCCAGAUAAUUUUCCUGAUAACAUGUUCAGCUGCAUUUCUCUCCGUUAUGUAUAAGUCCUUUAUGCCCCAUUUUACCUUUCUUCAAGCUUUUCAUUGGAUAAAUCGUGUCUCUUGUGUUCACUGUUGUAACAAUUAUAGGUGACAUGUUUAUGAAGUAAUAUUAAUCAACCCUUGUCACUUCAUAUUUCUUUCCAUCCUCUUUUGAUUGUGCUGAACUUAAUGGUUUCUGCUACAGUUCUUUAUUUUUCUUUUUGUGAAAUGUUUGAUUCAUCAUAAUGAGGGAUCUGAGUCCUGUUUCAUUCUUGUGACAAAGCGUGCUCGUUGAGUUGAGAAGCUUGUGUACAUAGAGGAACAAAGAGGGUAAGAUCCAUGAAGUGACAGUUUGAAGAAGAGUGUAGUUUCCCUUGUUAUCCUUUGUCGUGCGAUGAUUUUUUUUAGGACAAUGUUAGGUGCCUGUUUGGUUAUCAAAUAAGUUCGUUUGAAUGUAAAUAAAUGAUUAUAAAAUAUAUUUAAUUUUUAUAAAAUCCUGUUAAAUUGUAA